rnacentral:rRNA from 1 species
CUAAGCCAUGCGAGUCAUUGUAGCAAUACAAGGCAGACGGCUCAGUAACGCGUAGUCAAUCUACCCUAUGGACGGGAAUAACCUCGGGAAACUGAGAAUAAUGCCCGAUAGAACAUUAUGCCUGGAAUGGUUUAUGUUUCAAAUGAUUUAUCGCCAUAGGAUGGGACUGCGGCCUAUCAGUUUGUUGGUGAGGUAAUGGCCCACCAAGACUAUUACAGGUACGGGCUCUGAGAGGAGUAGCCCGGAGAUGGGUACUGAGACACGGACCCAGGCCCUAUGGGGCGCAGCAGGCGAGAAAACUUUGCAAUGUGCGAAAGCACGACAAGGUUAAUCCGAGUGGUUUCUGCUAAAGAAACCUUUUGUCAGUCCUAGAAACACUAACGAAUAAGGGGUGGGCAAGUUCUGGUGUCAGCCGCCGCGGUAAAACCAGCACCUCAAGUGGUCAGGAUGAUUAUUGGGCCUAAAGCAUCCGUAGCUCGUUUUGUAAGUUUUCGGUUAAAUCCAUGCGCUUAACGUAUGGGCUGCCGGGAAUACUGCAUAACUAGGAAGUGGGAGAGGUAGACGGUACUCGGUAGGAAGGGGUAAAAUCCUUUGAUCUAUUGAUGACCACCUGUGGCGAAGGCGGUCUACCAGAACACGUUCGACGGUGAGGGAUGAAAGCUGGGGGAGCAAACCGGAUUAGAUACCCGGGUAGUCCCAGCUGUAAACUAUGCAAACUCAGUGAUGCAUUGGCUUGUGGCCAAUGCAGUGCUGCAGGGAAGCCGUUAAGUUUGCCGCCUGGGAAGUACGUACGCAAGUAUGAAACUUAAAGGAAUUGGCGGGGGAGCACCACACAGGGGUGAAGCCUGCGGUUCAAUUGGAGUCAMCGCCAGAAAUCUUACCCGGAGAGACAGCAGAAUGAAGGUCAAGCUGAAGACUUUACCAGACAAGCUGAGAGGUGGUGCAUGGCCAAUCU